AUGGUGGCGCCUGCCAGAGACCAUGACGUGCUAAGCUGGAACUGUCGGGGACUCGGGCAACCCCGGACACAGGAGCUUGUAUGCCUAGUGCAUACUCACAAGCCCAAGAUCGUCUUCCUAGCUGAAACUAGACAGUGCGAGAAUAAAGUUAAACGUAUGAAAUGGAGAUUGGGUUUUAAGCAUUGCCUUACCCAGGAUGGUAAGGGCAAAGGGGCUGGUAUUGCACUGUACUAGGACGAUUCAAUAAAAGUAGAAGUUUUGUCAUAUGUGGCGAGGUAUUUUGAUGCGAUUGUAUCCGAACCCCAUAGUCCUAAAUGGCGGGGAACCUUUGUAUAUGGUGAACCAAAGGGACAGGAUCGACAUCUCAUGUGGAGUCUACUUAAAAACAUUGCACCAAAAUCAAAUGAACCCUGGCUAAUGGUGGGUGACUUCAAUGAGACCAUGUGGCAACAUGAGCACCUUUCUUAUGAGAAGAGGUCAGAGAGAAAGAUGGCAAACUUUAGAUAUGCUCUCUCUUUCUACAAGAUGCAUGAUUUAGGUUACAAAGGCCCAAGUUGGAAUUAUGAUAAUAAGCAAUGGGGGAGUAAAAACAUCAGAGCUAGAUUGGAUAGGGUUGUGGCCUCACAAGCUUGGUGUGUUCUUUUCAAUGGACACACAAUUACUCACAUAUGCUCCACUCGCUCCGACCACUUCCUUGUUCUGGUGGAAUUGGGCGCCAGCACUUGGCGAAGAAAUAAAAAAACAUGCCUUCCAUUAUGA
rnacentral:rRNA from 1 species